rnacentral:piRNA from 1 species
UCCUAGCACUUUAUUCUCUGUUGUCUCAGGCU